GACGAACGCUGGCGGCGUGCCUAAUACAUGCAAGUUGAGCGCUGAAGGUUGGUACUUGUACCAACUGGAUGAGCAGCGAACGGGUGAGUAACGCGUGGGGAAUCUGCCUUUGAGCGGGGGACAACAUUUGGAAACGAAUGCUAAUACCGCAUAAAAACUUUAAACACAAGUUUUAAGUUUGAAAGAUGCAAUUGCAUCACUCAAAGAUGAUCCCGCGUUGUAUUAGCUAGUUGGUGAGGUAAAGGCUCACCAAGGCGAUGAUACAUAGCCGACCUGAGAGGGGGAUCGGCCACAUUGGGACUGAGACACGGCCCAAACUCCUACGGGAGGCAGCAGUAGGGAAUCUUCGGCAAGGGACGAAAGUCUGACCGAGCAACGCCGCGGGAGUGAAGAAGGUUUUCGGAUCGUAAAACUCUGUUGGUAGAGAAGAACGUUGGUGAGAGUGGAAAGCUCAUCAAGUGACGGUAACUACCCAGAAAGGGACGGCUAACUACGUG
rnacentral:rRNA from 1 species